ACCACUUUUGCAUCCUUCGGCCUCUGGCGUGCCUGCCAUGACGUCAUAGCUCUGCGGAGGUGGAAGUUGGGGAGCUUUGAGGCCUCCUCUGUAGAAUGGAAACUCUGUACCCCUGCUUGUCUUAGGACCUCAUGGAUCCCAGGGGGACCAAGAGAGGAGCUGAGAAGACAGAGGUAGCUGAGCCUCGGAACAAACUACCUCGUCCAGCACCUUCUCUGCCCACAGACCCUGCCCUCUACUCUGGGCCCUUUCCUUUCUACCGGCGCCCUUCGGAACUGGGCUGCUUCUCCCUGGAUGCUCAACGCCAGUACCAUGGAGAUGCCCGAGCCCUGCGCUACUAUAGCCCACCCCCCACUAACGGUCCAGGCCCCAACUUUGACCUCAGAGACGGAUACCCGGAUCGAUACCAGCCCCGGGACGAGGAGGUCCAGGAAAGGCUGGACCACCUGCUGUGCUGGCUCCUGGAACACCGAGGCCGGUUGGAGGGGGGUCCAGGCUGGCUGGCAGAGGCCAUAGUGACGUGGCGGGGGCACCUGACAAAACUGCUGACGACACCGUAUGAGCGGCAGGAGGGCUGGCAGCUGGCAGCCUCCCGGUUCCAGGGAACACUAUACCUGAGUGAAGUGGAGACACCGAACGCUCGGGCCCAGAGGCUUGCUCGGCCACCGCUCCUCCGGGAGCUUAUGUACAUGGGAUACAAAUUUGAGCAGUACAUGUGUGCAGGUGAGUUGCC
rnacentral:misc_RNA from 1 species